rnacentral:tRNA from 1 species
GGGAAUAUAGCUUAACUGGUAAAGCAGCUGGCUCAUAACCGGCCACAUACGGGUUCAAUCCCUGUUGUUCCCACCA